rnacentral:lncRNA from 1 species
GGACCUGACAAAGGCCAGAUGCUGUGGAGGACACUAAAAUCAGCCCCAGAUUUACCCUGGGGUUGGGAAGCAUGGAGGAACACCAUCUGCUAGCUUUCCACCUCUAUUAAAUUGCUGCCACAGUGAGUUGCUGCUAACUAGUGAAAUGGACUCAUUUGAGUCUGCGUUCUUUCUCCUUCCUUGUCCUCUCAUGGCAGUGAGUGUGAUUAGUGAACGCAUAGAGGUCAGGCUCCAGAAAGUUCUAGAGUAUGGGAGGUUGAGUCUGGAGCACUGAUCAAGCAUCAUCAGAACCCAAGACUCUUCAGUGCUUGGAAGAGUCAGUCAGGAGAUUCUGACACUUUUAAAAUUCAAAUUAAUUACACUGUGAUUCUUUAUUUUCAAAAUUAAGGAAGCUGGCAAAAAAAUGACAUUCCAAUAAGGUGGAAUGAAAUAGAAACGGAAAAUUAGAACCAAAGAAAAUGAGUCCAAGGAUAUGCUAAUUGUAAGUAAUUUGCCUUGAUUAAGACUUAAAUUUGGCUCCAGCCUUCAUGGAAGCCCAGAGAAAGGGAAAUAGGACAAGUUGCAUGUUCUUCACAGGUCCUUGGAGGAGACAAAGCUGAUCAAGCACCAAGUCAGAGGAUGGGAUUUUUAAGGGGCUGUAAUGAAAAGAUUUUUGCAUUCCCCCUCCUGGAUUCCUCCUUAAAAGAGGGACCCAUGGCAAAUUACUAACCCUUGGUAGUACAGUCCAGUUUCCUCCUCAUUCUCAAAUGGGGUUAAUAGUAACUACUCUGCAGGUUGUUGGGAGGAUUAAAUGAGAGGCUUGGUAGAGAGUACAUUUGCAUGACUGUUAGUUGGAAUCAACCUAACUUCUAUUGGUGGAGGAAUGGUUAAAUGAAGUAUGAUACACUUUUAUCAUAACAUAGCGCAUCCUUCCUCAUGCUUCACCCCUCCCAACCCCACACGCCGUCAAUGACUCUGCAGUUUCUCCCAGGAAAGGCAGAGUAUAUUUCCUCACCCGACUAGUAUUGAACUUGGCCAUGUGAUUUGCUUUGGCCAAUGAAAUGGGGACAGAAGUGACAAUGUACUGAGCCCAGACCUAGGGGCAUUAUGUAUUUCCUUUGACCCCUCUUGAGAGUCUGCCAUCACCAUAAGACUAUGAUCUGCUAGUUUUUUUGGUCCAAGGAUGAUAACAAACACACGGAGCAGACUGGACCCAACCUGAACUUCAGAACCCAGAUGAGCCCAGCUGACUGAGACCCUCAGUGUGAGCGGAAAAAAAGGAAAAAGGAAAAUAUGGUUAAAAGCCAUGGAAUAUCAAUCAGUCAAACUUUAUCGGGC